AGUGAACGCUGGCGGUAGGCCUAACACAUGCAAGUCGAACGGCAGCACAGUAAGAGCUUGCUCUUACGGGUGGCGAGUGGCGGACGGGUGAGGAAUACAUCGGAAUCUACUUUUUCGUGGGGGUUAACGUAGGGAAACUUACGCUAAUACCGCAUACGACCUACGGGUGAAAGCAGGGGAUCUUCGGACCUUGCGCGAUUGAAUGAGCCGAUGUCGGAUUAGCUAGUUGGCGGGGUAAAGGCCCACUAAGGCGACGAUCCGUAGCUGGUCUGAGAGGAUGAUCAGCCACAGUGGAGCUGAGACACGGUCCAGACUGCUAAGGGAGACAGCAGUGGGGAAUAUUGGACAAAGGGCGCAAGCCUGAUCCAGCCAUACCGCGUGAGUGAAGAAGGCCUUCGGGUUGUGAAGCCCUUUUGUUGGGAAAGAAAAGCAGCAGGUUAAUACCCCGCUGUUCUGACGGUACCCAAAGAAUAAGCACCGGCUAACUUCGUG
rnacentral:rRNA from 1 species